rnacentral:lncRNA from 1 species
CAUCAUACUCACCCACAUCUCCGAGUUACAGCCCAACAUCUCCUAGCUACAGUCCUACAUCACCAAGCUACAGCCCUACAUCUCCUAGUUAUAGUCCUACAUCACCAAGUUACAGCCCCACCUCACCAGUUUAUAGCCCUACAUCUCCAGCAUACAGCCCUACAUCUCCCGCAUAUAGCCCCACAUCACCAUCUUACAGUCCAACUUCGCCAUCUUAUAGCCCUACAUCACCAUCAUACAGCCCAACAUCCCCCUCAUACAGCCCUACCUCCCCCUCAUACAGCCCUACCUCCCCCUCAUACAGCCCUACCUCCCCCUCGUACAGCCCAACAUCACCUGCAUACAGCCCUACUUCGCCAGGAUACAGCCCAACAUCACCGAGCUACAGUCCUACUUCUCCGAGCUACAGUCCUACUUCUCCGAGCUACAAUCCUUCAUCAGCCAAGUACAGCCCUUCGCAUGCAUA